CUGUGCGGCUGCAGGAACCUAGGAAAUAACUCGGAACCUGUAACGUCCCACUGGUUUGGACAUAUUCCUCUCCUGAUCUGGCCUCAUCUGUUCCAGGGAGGUGGGAUUGAGCCUAGUGCAGGCUACAGUCAAACCUCUUCUGGACUUCUGCGACAGCCUUUUAUUUGGUUUCUUGCCGCUCCUUGACCUCUAACAUUCUCGUCUCUGCACUGCAGCUAACAUGAUCGUCAAACACAAAUCAGAACAUAUGCAGUAAUGUCACCUCAAAAGAGAGUUAAGAACGUCCAGGCACAAAACAGGACUUCACAAGGUAGUAGUAGUUUUCAGACCACGCUUUCAGCCUGGAAAGUAAAACAGGAUCCAAGCAACUCGAAGAACAUCUCAAAACAU
rnacentral:lncRNA from 10 species